rnacentral:rRNA from 1 species
UCCGUAGGGUGCAAGCGCUAAUCGGAAUUACUGGGUGUAAAGCGUGCGCAGGCGGUUUUGUAAGUCUGUCGUGAAAUCCCCGGGCUCAACCUGGGAAUUGCGAUGGAGACUGCAAGGCUAGAAUCUGGCAGAGGGGGGUAGAAUUCCACGUGUAGCAGUGAAAUGCGUAGAGAUGUGGAGGAACACCGAUGGCGAAGGCAACCCCCUGGGUCAAGAUUGACGCUCAUGCACGAAAGCGUGGGGAGCAAACAGG